rnacentral:rRNA from 1 species
UGGGGAAUAUUGCACAAUGGGCGCAAGCCUGAUGCAGCCAUGCCGCGUGUAUGAAGAAGGCCUUCGGGUUGUAAAGUACUUUCAGUCGGGAGGAAGGUGGUAAGGUUAAUAACCUUAUCAAUUGACGUUACCGACAGAAGAAGCACCGGCUAACCCCGUGCCAGCAGCCGCGGUAAUACGGAGGGUGCAAGCGUUAAUCGGAAUUACUGGGCGUAAAGCGCACGCAGGCGGUUGAUUGAGUCAGAUGUGAAAUCCCCGGGCUUAACCCGGGAAUUGCAUCUGAUACUGGUCAGCUAGAGUCUUGUAGAGGGGGGUAGAAUUCCAUGUGUGGCGGUGAAAUGCGUAGAGAUGUGGAGGAAUACCGGUGGCGAAGGCGGCCCCCUGGACAAAGACUGACGCUCAGGUGCGAAAGCGUGGGGAGCAAACAGG